ANCGNGGCUUACCAUGCCAGGUCGAGGGGCAGCAUUUUAGUUUGCUUGCAAACUAAAGAUGGCGACCGGCGCACGGGCUGAGCUAACACGCUAUCCNACCUGCCGAUAACUCGGGGAUAGCCUUUCGAAAGAAAGAUUAAUAUCCGAUAGUAUAUUAAAACCGCAUGGUUUUACUAUUAAAGAAUUUCGGUUAUCGAUGGGGAUGCGUUCCAUUAGUUUGUUGGCGGGGUAACGGCCCACCAAGACUACGAUGGAUAGGGGUUCUGAGAGGAAGGUCCCCCACAUUGGAACUGAGACACGGUCCAAACUCAUACGGGAGGCAGCAGUGAGGAAUAUUGGUCAAUGGACGAGAGUCUGAACCAGCCAAGUAGCGUGAAGGAUGACUGCCCAAUGGGUUGUAAACUUCUUUUAUAUGGGAAUAAAGUAUUUCCACGUGUGGGAUUUUGUAUGUACCAUAUGAAUAAGGAUCGGCUAACUCCGUGCCAGCAGCCGCGGUAAUACGGAGGAUCCGAGCGUUAUCCCGGAUUUAUUGGGUUUAAAGGGAGCGUAGGUGGAUUGUUAAGUCAGUUGUGAAAGUUUGCGGCUCAACCGUAAAAUUGCAGUUGAAACUGGCAGUCUUGAGUACAGUAGAGGUGGGCGGAAUUCGUGGUGUAGCGGUGAAAUGCUUAGAUAUCACGAAGAACUCCGAUUGCGAAGGCAGCUCACUAGACUGCAACUGACACUGAUGCUCGAAAGUGUGGGUAUCAAACAGGAUUAGAUACCCUGGUAGUCCACACAGUAAACGAUGAAUACUCGCUGUUUGCGAUAUACAGUAAGCGGCCAAGCGAAAGCAUUAAGUAUUCCACCUGGGGAGUACGCCGGCAACGGUGAAACUCAAAGGAAUUGACGGGGGCCCGCACAAGCGGAGGAACAUGUGGUUUAANUUCGAUGAUACGCGAGGAACCUUACCCGGGCUUAAAUUGCAUUUGAAUAAUCUGGAAACAGGUUAGCCGCAAGGCAAAUGUGAAGGUGCUGCAUGGUUGUCGUCAGCUCGUGCCGUGAGGUGUCGGCUUAAGUGCCAUAACGAGCGCAACCCUUAUCUUUAGUUACUAACAGGUCAUGCUGAGGACUCUAGAGAGACUGCCGUCGUAAGAUGUGAGGAAGGUGGGGAUGACGUCAAAUCAGCACGGCCCUUACGUCCGGGGCUACACACGUGUUACAAUGGGGGGUACAGAAGGCAGCUACCUGGCGACAGGAUGCUAAUCCCAAAAACCUCUCUCAGUUCGGAUCGAAGUCUGCAACCCGACUUCGUGAAGCUGGAUUCGCUAGUAAUCGCGCAUCAGCCAUGGCGCGGUGAAUACGUUCCCGGGCCUUGUACACACCGCCCGUCAAGCCAUGAAAGCCGGGGGUACCUGAAGUACGUACCGCAAGAGCUC
rnacentral:rRNA from 1 species